UCCACGCGGCGCACAGCAGGAGCCCGCACAGGAAAUGACAGUUGCUUCAAGCAAUGUAACACUGUGUUGUGGGAGCUGAGAGAUGGGAAAACAGGAUAACAUGAGACAUGAGGAAGACAGUUUCAAAUGUUGGAGGGGAAGAGCAGGAUCUUUCAAACACUUCCUGAAACUUGUGCCUCCUCCAAGAUGUCUGCCAUAGUAGUGCUUCUUCUGAUAUCUAUAUAGAGGUGAGAAAAUCCCUGUUUAAAGCUGCAGCCAGCAAGGGAAACAACUCGCCUACCUCGCCAGAACCAGCAACAGCAGGAGACUGGAAGCUGCUGAGGGAGCCUCGUUUUAUUAGCAGCUAUUCAGUCUGGACUGGACUGCCCUGCAGCUGUGCCGGUAUUUCUGGCCCACUGCUGAGACUGGAAGGUGGGCGGGACAGACUCGGAGGGAAACCCCAAUGCGGGAGCAUCAGGAUGCUAGAGCAGAGAUUCUGGGAGCUGGGGAGAGGGCUGCCUUUCAGCCCGGGGGAGAGCCAGGAGCUCUUUCAAUAAAGUUCUGUUAGCAUUUUCUUUUACUUUUGUUUUCACUGAAGUGAAGCCUAUUAGUCUUAGUAUGCUAGGGGUAUGGACAAAUGUAAAUUUUAGCUGCUUUAAAAGUGAGGGAAGAACUUGCUCAGGAGCUGUUACGUUAUGUGACCUUUGCAUGAUCCUGGAGCAGUUGUGAGCAAAAUACAACCCACAGGCUGGAUCCAGUCCACCAGA
rnacentral:lncRNA from 1 species